rnacentral:rRNA from 1 species
GACGAACCGUCCAAACGUUAUUCGGAAUUACUGGGCUUAAAGGGCGCGUAGGCGGCCGAGCGGGUCACGGGUGAAAUCCUCCAGCUUAACUGGAGAACUGCCCUUGAUACCACUGCGGCUCGAGGAAGGAAGGGGCAAUCGGAACUGUCGGUGGAGCGGUGAAAUGCGUUGAUAUCGACAGGAACGCCGGUGGCGAAAGCGGAUUGCUGGUCCUUUUCUGACGCUGAGGCGCGAAAGCCAGGGGAGCAAACGGG